rnacentral:rRNA from 1 species
UACGAAGGGGGCUAGCGUUGUUCGGAAUCACUGGGCGUAAAGGGCGCGUAGGCGGCCGAUCAAGUCGGGGGUGAAAGCCUGUGGCUCAACCACAGAAUUGCCUUCGAUACUGUUUGGCUUGAGACCGGAAGAGGUUAGUGGAACUGCGAGUGUAGAGGUGAAAUUCGUAGAUAUUCGCAAGAGCACCAGUGGCGAAGGCGGCUGACUGGUCCGGUUCUGACGCUGAGGCGCGAAAGCGUGGGGAGCAAACAGG